rnacentral:rRNA from 1 species
GGCGGCAGGCUUAACACAUGCAAGUCGAGCGCACUCUUUGGAGUGAGCGGCAGACGGGUGAGUAACGCGUGGGAACCUACCUAGUAGUGCGGAAUAGCCCUGGGAAACCGGGAAUAAUACCGCAUACGCCCUUAGGGGGAAAGAUUUAUCGCUAUUAGAUGGGCCCGCGUUGGAUUAGUUAGUUGGUGGGGUAAUGGCCUACCAAGACAACGAUCUAUAGCUGGUCUGAGAGGAUGAUCAGCCACACUGGGACUGAGACACGGCCCAGACUCCUACGGGAGGCAGCAGUGGGGAAUAUUGGACAAUGGGCGCAAGCCUGAUCCAGCCAUGCCGCGUGAGUGAUGAAGGCCUUAGGGUUGUAAAGCUCUUU